rnacentral:rRNA from 1 species
UGGGGAAUCUUGCGCAAUGGGCGAAAGCCUGACGCAGCGACGCCGUGUGUGCGAUGAAGGUCUUCGGAUCGUAAAGCACUGUCGCGAGGGAAAAAACCGAAAGGGUGAUGGUACCUCGAAAGGAAGCACCGGCUAACUCUGUGCCAGCAGCCGCGGUAAUACAGAGGGUGCAAGCGUUGUUCGGAAUUAUUGGGCGUAAAGCGCAUGUAGGCGGCCCGUUAAGUCGCGUGUGAAAGCUCCAGGCUCAACCUGGAAAGUGCGCGCGAAACUGGUGGGCUUGAGUGCCGGAGAGGGUGGCGGAAUUCCCGGUGUAGAGGUGAAAUUCGUAGAUAUCGGGAGGAACACCAGAGGCGAAGGCGGCCACCUGGACGGACACUGACGCUGAGAAGCGAAAGCGUGGGGAGCAAACAGG